rnacentral:rRNA from 1 species
CACUCCUACGGGAGGCAGCAGUGGGGAAUUUUGGACAAUGGGCGAAAGCCUGAUCCAGCAAUGCCGCGUGAGUGAAGAAGGCCUUCGGGUUGUAAAGCUCUUUUGUCAGGGAAGAAACGGUGAAAGCUAAUAUCUUUUGCUAAUGACGGUACCUGAAGAAUAAGCACCGGCUAACUACGUGCCAGCAGCCGCGGUAAUACGUAGGGUGCAAGCGUUAAUCGGAAUUACUGGGCGUAAAGCGUGCGCAGGCGGUUUUGUAAGUCUGAUGUGAAAUCCCCGGGCUCAACCUGGGAAUUGCAUUGGAGACUGCAAGGCUAGAAUCUGGCAGAGGGGGGUAGAAUUCCACGUGUAGCAGUGAAAUGCGUAGAUAUGUGGAGGAACACCGAUGGCGAAGGCAGCCCCCUGGGUCAAGAUUGACGCUCAUGCACGAAAGCGUGGGGAGCAAACAGGAUUAGAUACCCGUGUAGUCCCA